UACGUAGGUGGCAAGCGUUGUCCGGAAUUAUUGGGCGUAAAGAGCUCGUAGGCGGUGUGUCACGUCGUUCGUGAAAACCUGCAGCUUAACUGUGGGCGUGCGGUCGAUACGGGCAUCACUGGAGUUCGGCAGGGGAGACUGGAAUUCCUGGUGUAGCGGUGAAAUGCGCAGAUAUCAGGAGGAACACCGGUGGCGAAGGCGGGCCGCUGGGCCGAUACUGACGCUGAGGAGCGAAAGCGUGGGGAGCAAACAGG
rnacentral:rRNA from 1 species